AUUGAACGCUGGCGGCAUGCUUUACACAUGCAAGUCGAACGGUAACAGGCCGCAAGGUGCUGACGAGUGGCGAACGGGUGAGUAAUGCAUCGGAACGUGCCCAGUCGUGGGGGAUAACGCAGCGAAAGCUGCGCUAAUACCGCAUACGAUCUAUGGAUGAAAGCGGGGGACCGUAAGGCCUCGCGCGAUUGGAGCGGCCGAUGUCAGAUUAGGUAGUUGGUGGGGUAAAGGCUCACCAAGCCAACGAUCUGUAGCUGGUCUGAGAGGACGACCAGCCACACUGGGACUGAGACACGGCCCAGACUCCUACGGGAGGCAGCAGUGGGGAAUUUUGGACAAUGGGCCCAAGCCUGAUCCAGCAAUGCCGCGUGCAGGAAGAAGGCCUUCGGGUUGUAAACUGCUUUUGGACGGAACGAAAAGGCGUCCACUAAUACUGGGGGCUUAUGACGGUACCGUAAGAAUAAGCACCGGCUAACUACGUGCCAGCCGCCGCCGUAAAAC
rnacentral:rRNA from 1 species